rnacentral:rRNA from 1 species
GGCCAGACUCCUACGGGAGGCAGCAGUGGGGAAUAUUGCACAAUGGGGGAAACCCUGAUGCAGCGACGCCGCGUGAGCGAAGAAGUAUUUCGGUAUGUAAAGCUCUCUCAGCAGGGAAGAAAAUGACGGUACCUGAGUAAGAAGCUCCGGCUAAAUACGUGCCAGCAGCCGCGGUAAUACGUAUGGAGCAAGCGUUAUCCGGAUUUACUGGGUGUAAAGGGAGCGCAGGCGGUCUGGCAAGUCUGAUGUGAAAUACCGGGGCUCAACUCCGGGACUGCAUUGGAAACUGUCAGACUGGAGUGUCGGAGAGGCAGGCGGAAUUCCUGGUGUAGCGGUGAAAUGCGUAGAUAUCAGGAGGAACACCAGUGGCGAAGGCGGCCUGCUGGACGAUGACUGACGCUGAGGCUCGAAAGCGUGGGGAGCAAACAGGAUUAGAUACCCGCGUAA